AGACUUCAGUUGCUCAGAGAAAGUACCUGAUGCUAAAAGACAGGAAAUUGAACAAUGUCACCAAAAUGUGCCUGUGUCAUCCCUGUUAACAGCUAUAUGCCUUGCUUUUUAGACCUUGCUGAUUGGCAUGAUCUUGAAGAUCAGCCAGUAUGGAGCAAAAUUCUCCUUGAAAUCUGGAAAAUGUGGCAAGAAAAAGGCAUGGAGCCUUCUCUGACUAAGCCUAUGAGAGAAAAGGAAUAACCCUGACUUACAAAUCGAGAGAGCCCUCUGUUUUAGAACUCUGUGCCAAGAUGACCAUCUCUACAAAGAUCUUUGGAGACCAAUAAAUUGUUAGGCUAAUUUGGAAACCCACAGAAAAUGUUUUAAUUAUGUUUGACCCCAGAUAAAAAUAAAAACAGUAA